GAUGAACGCUGGCGGCGUGCCUAAUACAUGCAAGUCGAGCGAACAGAUAAGGAGCUUGCUCCUCUGACGUUAGCGGCGGACGGGUGGGUAACACGUGGGUAACCUACCUAUAAGACUGGGAUAACUUCGGGAAACCGGAGCUAACACCGGCCAAUAUUUCGACCCGCAUGGUUCGAUAGUGAAAGAUGGGUUUGCUAGCACUUAUAGAUGGACCCGCGCCGUAUUAGCUAGUGGGGAAGGUAACGGCUUACCAAGGCGACGCUACGGAGGCGACCUGAGAGGGUGAUCAGCCACCCUGGACCGGAGCCGCGGUCCAGACUCCUACGGGAGGCAGCAGUGCGGUGUCUUCCACUAGGGGCGAAGGCUUGACGGGACCCCGCCGCGUGGGUGAUGGAGGUCUUCGGAUCGUAGUACUCUGUUAUUAGGGAAGAACGUACGUGUAAGUAACUGGUCACGUCUUGACGGUACCUAAUCAGUAAGCCCCGGCUAACUACGUG
rnacentral:rRNA from 1 species